AGAGGAGUGAGAGGUGGAGUAAAGAUUUGGGGCAGAGAGAUUGACUGCCCCUUUCGUCCCUUUGAUCUCUUUCAGGAGUUGAGGCAGUGUUUCCACGGUGAGGACAGCCUCAGGCAGCUUGGCGAGAAGAGACAGAUCACUAGGCUCCAGACCGCAGCUGUUGAGGAUGUGGAGAGCGUUUUCUUGUGACCACGAACCUCUGGUGGAGGAAGAGUAGGACGACGAAGACUCCUGCAGUCGUACCGUACUGCCAUAGUCAAGAUCCACUGAGUUGAGAUGGUGUUCUGAGGAGCUGCGUGAUCGAUGAUUCGGUCUAAGCAGUGUACCGUUGGACAAACCAUACCAGCAGGGAGCGCCACAGACCACAGACGAACGUUUCUUGCUCUUCAAUGACAGUUUCGUUCAAUUUAAAAGCAGCGUCUCCUGAACAUUAUUCCUGGAAGUUUCCUGACUCUGAGGACGGACAGCGGUGGAGACAGACUGACUCUGGUUCCUGCAUGUGUUUUGUUCACAUUUCAAGGGGGCGGGGUGGGAAGAGCAGGACAAGUGGCCAUUUGCUCGUCUCCAGGGCCAUGCACCAUCUGCCAGCAUCCCCCUGAAAACCUCCGCCUGCACAGAUCGCCACGAGCCCAGUGACUCCCGACACAGCUGGAACACAGAAGUGAUGAUGGGAAGACGACCUGCUGCUGCUGCAUUCAGGCCCCUCAAGAGAGGCAUAAUGUUGGACCCAGUGAACACCUGAAACUGUGACAUCACAUCCUGAAGGCUUUGUUGACAAAUAUGGAAAAGGGUGGAAUGGUUUGAUCUACUGAACAGAAAAAACGACAUCUGCACGAACCUGACUCUUGCUCACUAUUUAUCCCUGUGAAAGAGGUGACGACGUUGGGGAGGAAAAUGUUAACUACCUGUUCAGAUGUGAUCAGGUAUUUGAUAGGUUUGCUGUAAGAUCAUCAACCUUUUGACUACAAUUCAAAGCUAUUCCAGCUCCAGAUGAACAGUCCAGGUUCAGAGUUCAGGUCCAAAAGGUUCUUUAUGGUCCUGCUUUUCACACCUGAUGACUGCAGCAGCUCCCGACGUCGGCAGCGCCCAUGCAGUACUCUGAUCAUAAACAGCUCCUUCAUAUUAAAAACCAGAUAAUAACUCCCAGAAUGCUCUUUGAUCAGAUUAAAAACACUUCAUACAGGAAGUGGUCUUCGGCAAGCGGACGGCAGGACGGGAGCAAGGGAGCUGUGCUGGAAAACAAAUUAUUUGGAGGAAGCGAUUAUAACAAACCGCAGUAGUUCCCUGGAGUGAUGCAGUAAUAUUAAAGUCAUGUACACACGGAGGUGAAAACACGCGCACACUCCCGCCGACAUGAUGGACGUCUAAAUUAGAACAAGGAGAGAAACAGGAAACUGACAGAGCGACGAUGGAAGCCUGGGGUGUUACAGUGCAUCAAACAACAAGUGCGUCUGAAACUAAACCAUCAUCAAGGUUGGGGCAAAACAAAAGAGGAGGAGCCUUUACUGAUGAAAGAACAUCCUUGUCCUUGUCCACCAGUAAGAGUUCAGGGACCAGGUCCACAUUCAAAGAUGGGGAUUGUGUCACGAUGCCAAAGAAAAGGUCUGUGCUGUUGCUGUGCAAACCCCUGAGGGACAAACAGGAACUGUUAACGGAGCUCCGCCUUCAUCUGGCCCCAAAAUCACCUCAACACUGGCUCCAAUUAAAGCUCACCAACAUCUUUCCAGCCGUGACACCACCUGCAGGUGUUGGGGUUUAAUGAAGGACAGGAAAAUGCAGUAUUUGUUACACCUCCUGAAUGUGAUGCCAACAUGGGCCUGGAACCUUGUGUUCAAGGACACACUAAGGUGAAGAGCCAAGAUCUGGUCACUUUGUGCCAAAGGCAAAAGUGGGUGACCAGCAAGGUGACGAGUGGAGACCUGGAGAUCAACAGGCUGCCAAGAGAUCCAGAUCUGGGCCAUCUUUAAAGGCAGCAGAGAUGUCGUCUUGAUGGCUCUGAGCACAGUGCGUCAAAAUACUAGGACACAGUCUGGAUCACCUGGGUGUCUGAUACCAAGGUCUGAAGCAUCUGAUCAUCCUAGAGGAUCAACAAUGGUGAUUUCAGGUGAUUGAAAGAGUGGAGACUCUGCGCUUCAUUAACUCCAGCUUCAAAUGGAUAUGUGGCAGAGAAGCCCAUAAUCCCUGUUGCAAGGUUGGACUGGCAUCGCUGCUAAUGAACCCGAGAGCUCAGCAUCGUCUCGGGUCAGGAUUCUUCACUACACACCACCUGACUGCUGUUUGAGAUUCAGAUCAGAGACAGAGGAAAUGGUUUUGUCUCAAAGACAAACUCUGAUCGGUCCAUGAUGUGACCUUAUGUGUGUAUGUGGGUUUGUGUGUGUGUGUGUCAGACUUGAUCUCUGCCAGGAAGUUCAACUCCCAGUGGACAUUAGCUGUUGGAAUCCAGAACUGGACACUUCCUUGACACCCACAAAGUUGUGCUGUGGGACAAAACGCUACACACAACCGUGUGUUUGUGUGUGUGUGAGUAAACCAGGCAGUGGGGGCCAGCAUGGCUGAAGGCCAGACCAUCCCUGAAUAUUCCUGAUGUCCCUAAUGAGCGGGAGAGUCCCGGCCGCUCCCUGUAUCUGGAUGGUUUUUACUACGAUGAGUCCAACGAGGGACACGCUUAGAUUUAAAAAAACAGAGGAGACAAAGAGCGCCUGUGACCGACUCUUCCUCACUCCAACGCUUCGCCUCGUCCCCUGUGUGAAUGAAUCCUUGUGAGCAGUGCAGAAUCUAAAGAUCUGAUCUGACGAACACUGGAAAUGUGACAGUGGAUUGUUGUAGCUGUUGUUGUCAAGUUGCACCAUCAGGCUGGACCAGGCCACCUGACCAACUCUUCAAGUUAUAAAUGUUAAACCCACCAACCUGGUUAGAAAAACUUCACUUCAAAACUUUUUCUGUAGUUCCUGACUGACACGCCAAGGUUGAUCACCGUGUCUAAUUCAUGGACUUCUGACAGGCACCCUUGGAGGGCAUCGAAGGGCUGUGAAGGACCACCAGAAAAACAAACUCCAUCCGGCUGCAAGGCCACGAACGGUCCAUCACUCAGAUGAAGUACAACAGAGAAGGAGACCUUCUGUUUUCCGUCGCUAAAGAUCCAGUGAGUAACAUGAAAUGAUUGUGCUUAACAAGUGCCACCAAUGGCUAUAGGAUAGUAAAUAGUUUGACAUCAAGGAUAUGGAAUGUCCAC